rnacentral:misc_RNA from 1 species
GAUGAAGAACGUAGCGAAAUGCGAUAAGUAAUGUGAAUUGCAGAAUUCAGUGAAUCAUCGAAUCUUUGAACGCACAUUGCGCCCGCCAGUAUUCUGGCGGGCAUGCCUGUUCGAGCGUCAUUUCAACCAUCAAGCCCCAGGCUUGUGUUGGGGACCUGCGGCUGCCGCAGGCCCUGAAAACCAGUGGCGGGCUCGCUGUCACACCGGGCGUAGUAGAUUUUAUCUCGCUCAGGGCGUGCUGCGGGUUCCGGCCGUUAAAAAGCCUUUUUUACCCAAGGUUGACCUCGGAUCAGGUAGGAAGACCCGCUGAACUUAAGCAUGUCAAUAAGCGGAGGA